rnacentral:rRNA from 1 species
UAAUACAUAAGUAACCUGCCCUAGACAGGGGGAGUAACUAUUGGAAACGAUAGCUAAGACCGCAUAGGUACGGACACUGCAUGGUGACCGUAUUAAAAGUGCCUCAAAGCACUGGUAGAGGAUGGACUUAUGGCGCAUUAGCUGGUUGGCGGGGUAACGGCCCACCAAGGCGACGAUGCGUAGCCGACCUGAGAAGGUGACCGGCCACACUGGGACUGAGACACGGCCCAG